rnacentral:rRNA from 1 species
AGUGGCGAACGGGUGAGUAACGCGUGGAUGAUCUACCUACGAGAUGGGGAUAACUAUUAGAAAUAGUAGCUAAUACCGAAUAAAGUCAAUUAAUUUGUUAAUUGAUGAAAGGAAGCCUUUAAAGCUUCGCUUGUAGAUGAGUCUGCGUCUUAUUAGYUAGUUGGUAGGGUAAAUGCCUACCAAGGCGAUGAUAAGUAACCGGCCUGAGAGGGUGAACGGUCACACUGGAACUGAGAUACGGUCCAGACUCCUACGGGAGGCAGCAGCUAAGAAUCUUCCGCAAUGGGCGAAAGCCUGACGGAGCGACACUGCGUGAAUGAAGAAGGUCGAAAGAUUGUAAAAUUCUUUUAUAAAUGAGGAAUAAGCUUUGUAGGAAAUGACGAAGUGAUGACGUUAAUUUAUGAAUAAGCCCCGGCUAAUUACGUGCCAGCAGCCGCGGUAAUACGUAAGGGGCGAGCGUUGUUCGGGAUUAUUGGGCGUAAAGGGUGAGUAGGCGGAUAUAUAAGUCUAUGCAUAAAAUACCACAGCUCAACUGUGGAACUAUGUUGGAAACUAUAUGUCUAGAGUCUGAUA